UUCCCGGUUGUGUAAUUGGUAGCACCCAAGAUUCUGGCUCUUGUUGUGGGGGUUCGAGUCCUCCCCGGGAAG
rnacentral:tRNA from 1 species